AAAGUCGUAACAAGGUUUCCGUAGGUGAACCUGCGGAAGGAUCAUUACUGCUUGCUCACGGCGUCUCUCCGGGAAACCGGGGCGGCGUCGGGCAUGCCACCCUUGUCUAUUCACACCAUUUGUUACCUCCCUCGGCGGGGCAGCCCGCCGCUGGGGACAACCAAACCCUCCUGUAUCAAGCAUCAAAAUCUGAAAACAAACAAAAUAAUCACAACUUUUAACAAUGGAUCUCUUGGUUCUG
rnacentral:misc_RNA from 1 species